AUCGCUGUUGAUUUCCCCUUGUGUGUCUAUGGGAGCCUCAGCAUCCAGGGCCAGCCUUUAAUGAGGCCCCUACAAAGGCCCAUUGAUGAGAGGCCCAGUGUGAGAGAGGAUGACCCCAGCCAAGAGCACCCAGAAUUGGGCAUCAGCUGCCCCAGGCUCUCCCUCCACACAAAGACGCCCACUGUGGACAGAGACCUGAAAGAGCACAGACGAAGGGGGGGGGCAAAGAGGGAGGAGAUAUCCUGUUCAAACAACUUAGAGAAUGUGAGAUAGAAAGAUAUCAAAAAAAAAAAAAAUGAAACAGACGUAUGACCUCAUCACAUAUUAGUCGCUCCCAUCAAGCCUUAUGCUUCCUCCUCCUCCUCUUCCAUUUCUACUCUUCUGUGCAUCCUAGCAGGAACAGUGAGACCCACCCUCUGCCAGGGAGUUGUCAGUGUCUUCAUCCCUUCCAUGGAUCAUAAAUCAGAUUUGAACAGGCGACUACAAGGCUCUGGUCUGUCACAAAUCCUCAUCAGUAACCACAGGUUGCUCUAAGGAGCGAUUGAGGCACACUGAGGGGACCCCACACCCUUUUUUGGAAACAUUUGGAGCGCUGAUUGGAAUCCAGGCGGUUUUUGGAGCCAAGUUUGGCGAAGAUAGACGUGUUUAUUUAUCAGAUUUGGACCACAGCUGGUUGUUUGGGGAAACCACCCUGGAUGGAGAAUGAAAGGAGAGUGUGGACAAGUUAGACUGGACUGUUAAGCUGUCAUGGCAUGGUUCUUUGGAGAAUUGGUAUAUUAUAUGGCUGACAUGGCUUAACUACUUCCUUUAAGUCAUCUGUCAAUAUCCCAUAAUAACACAUAAUAAGAGAGAGGAAGAGAAGCAGGCUGGAAAACCAGAGAUUGGGUCUUGAUUGAGAAUUCUGUCAAAAAACUUAAAUCUCACUGGCUGCGUUUUGGAUCAGCUGAACGAUGACUCUCGCAGCUCGACUUGAGGACUUAGAGGUCACCCUGGAACACAUGCUCAUGGAUGUUUUUUGAACAAAUCCCAUGGACAGACCAACCCCAGCAAUGUGUCCCCAGUCGUCCAUACUGAAUUGAAGAAAUUUUUGAAAUGUAAAAAGCUCAUGUAUAUUGUUUUUUUUUUUUAAAUAGUAAUUACCUAAAAUAAAUAGUGCUCUUGUUGGGAA